AAAAAAAAAAAAGCUAGACUCUGAAGUCAGUUUGCCAGGGUCUGUGAGUGGAAAUGUUACAAAGAAGCUUCUCAUGAAAACUUGACUCUCAAAUGAGCCAAAGGCAGUGAUGCCCAGAAAUGGAGUUGUGGUAACACUUAAAGGAAUGUAUCAGUUGUCUAUUGCUCUAUAAUGAACCCCAAAACUUAGUAGCUUCAAAUGAUUAGCUUAUUCUUUCACACGGUCUCCGUGGAUCAGGAGUCAAGGGCAACUUAAUUGGGUGCUUCUCACUUGGAGUCUCUUGUGAGACUACAGUCACCUGAGGUUUAGACUGGGGCUGGAGGACCCACUUCCCAGAUGGCUCACCCACCUGGCUGUCGGCAGGAGGCUGCAGUUCCUCUCCAUGUGGUCGUCUUCACAGGUCUGGACUUGGGAGAGGGAUCUGGACUGAAGUGGAGGAAUCCAGUACAAGUAGUGGAGCCGUCUGAA
rnacentral:lncRNA from 10 species